AACGAACGCUGGCGGCAUGCCUAACACAUGCAAGUCGAACGAGACCUUCGGGUCUAGUGGCGCGCGGGUGCGUAACGCGUGGGAACCUGCCCUUAGGUUCGGAAUAACUCCCCGAAAGGGGUGCUAAUACCGGAUAAUGUCUUCGGACCAAAGAUUUAUCGCCUUUGGAUGGGCCCGCGUUGGAUUAGCUAGUUGGUAGGGUAAAAGCCUACCAAGGCGACGAUCCAUAGCUGGUCUGAGAGGAUGAUCAGCCACACUGGGACUGAGACACGGCCCAGACUCCUACGGGAGGCAGCAGUGGGGAAUAUUGGAAAAUGGGCGAAAGCCUGAUCCAGCAAUGCCGCGUGAGUGAUGAAGGCCUUAGGGUUGUAAAGCUCUUUUACCCGGGAUGAUAAUGACAGUACCGGGAGAAUAAGCUCCGGCUAACUCCGUG
rnacentral:rRNA from 1 species